GACGAACGCUGGCGGCGUGCUUAACACAUGCAAGUCGAACGGAAAGGCCCUGCUUUUGUGGGGUGCUCGAGUGGCGAACGGGUGGGUAACACGUGAGUAACCUGCCCUUGACUUUGGGGUAACUUCAGGAAACUGGGGCUAAUACCGGAUAGGAGCUCCGGCUGCAUGGUGGGGGUUGGAAAGUUUCGGCGGGUGGGGAUGGACUCGCGGCUUAUCAGCUUGUUGGUGGGGGAGUGGCUUACCCAGGCUUUGCCGGGUAGCCGGCCUGAGAGGGUGACCGGCCACAGUGGGAUUGAGACUCGGCCCAGACCCCUACGGGGGGCAGCAGUGGGGGAUAUUGCACAAUGGGCGGGAGCCUGAGCCAGCAACGGCGCGUGCGGGAGGGUGGUCUUCGGGUUGGAAACCGCUUUCGCCUUUGACGAAGCGGGAGUGGCGGUAAUGGGGAAAGAAGCACCGGCUAACUACGUG
rnacentral:rRNA from 1 species